rnacentral:ncRNA from 1 species
CCAAUUCCGGUACUAAAAAGAGGUUUAGUGAUAAGGGAACGCCGUGCAAAUCGGCGACAGUACCCGCUGCUGUAAUUCUCAAAGAAUCCGUACAUAAUGCCACUGCAUCGAACACCGGUGUGGGAAGGCGAUACGAGGGAGAGAUAAGUCAGAAGACCUGCCGGAGGAGUUAAA